UACGUAGGCAGCGAGCGUUGUUCGGAGUUACUGGGCGUAAAGGGUGCGUAGGCGGUUGUUUAAGUUUGGUGUGAAAUCUCCCGGCUCAACUGGGAGGGUGCGCCGAAUACUGAAUGACUAGAGUGCGGGAGAGGAGAGUGGAAUUCCUGGUGUAGCGGUGAAAUGCGUAGAUAUCAGGAGGAACACCGGUGGUGUAGACGGCUCUCUGGACCGUAACUGACGCUGAGGCACGAAGCGUGGGUAUCAAACAGG
rnacentral:rRNA from 1 species